CCCCUCGUCGUUCAACGGAUAGGACGCGGCCUUGCGGAGGCCGUAAUGUAGGUUCGAUUCCUGCCGAGGGGA
rnacentral:tRNA from 1 species